UGGGAGGAGAGAGUGGGAGGAGUGCGCGUACACGGGAGGCGGGAGGCGGGAGGCGGGGCCAGGGAGGAGGAAGACAGCCGCAACGGCGACCAGUGUCGCGCCGGCGGCGGCGAGGAGAGCUCCGGGGUCACCGGAUCGAGCGUCGCCGGGGAGGGGGACACUCCACGGCGGCGGUGCUUGGGGCUCCGACGAGCGGAGGCGAGCGGUGACAGGAGGCGACAGGAGAAGCUCCGCGGCGACCUGAAGGCCAUCAGCCAUGGCCGUUGUGGUUUCGCGUGCGCCCGCGAGCGGCUGCAUGCUGGGGGAGGCGGAGCUUGACGCAGCGCGCGAACCUAGCCUUGGUGCGAGUGCGACGGCGGCGCGGCUGCUGUCCUCCCGUCCAACCCGCAGCACGUCGAGCCUCACCGGAGUUCCUCCAUGACGCCGUAAGCAGCUGCCACUGCCCUCCAUGGAGCCCCGACGCCUCCGCCAUGAACCCAUCCAUCCCUCCUGUGCGCGCUUCCCUGCAACUCCAGACGCCCGCCCGCAGCUCUCUGCAUCGAGCAGCAGUAGUUCGGGCAGAGGACGACGCCUCUGCCUCGACCGCUCGCCCCCUCUGCUUCGCUCUGGACUGCCAAGCCCCUCCCGUCCUCAUCCCCGUGCAGCUGCGCGCUCUCGCCUGCCCCCACGGUGAGCUCCGCCUCCUGCGUGUGGUCGCCGCCUCCCUCAACCUCCACCACCUGCUGCAAGUUGGUGCCCAGGGCGUCGCAAGCUGCCAGCGGCGGCAGAGUUGCUGCUCCCGUGUCGUGAUUGGACUCCGUGUUCUUCUCCAACAGCAAAUACGUGUUCUUCUCCAACAGCAAAUACGUGUUCUUCUCCAACACCAAUCAAUGGAUUUCCCGAGCCGGAUUUGAGUUGCCUACUAUAAGAAGAAAGGGUCCUCGGACCAGAAGCUCCAUCACAUCAAAUCAAAUCCCGUCAAAAUUGCAAUCUUCGUCGAAACAUCCAUGUUGCCGCCGAGUUCGCCGGAGGAAGAAGCGCAGAGUUCGCCGGAGGAACAAGCGUUGGACGUGUGUGGCGGCGUGCUCGGAGAGCGGGGAGGGGCGCUGUGGUGGUGGAGAUGGCCGACGCCGUAGACAAGCGCUAGGAGCUUCUGAAGCCAUGGCCGAGCGAAGGGGAGAGCCGCCAUGCUAGACGAGAACAAUAACCGUGGUAGAUGAUGUUCAGGGAGAUAUUACAAACUGCUAGAUGUUGCUACUGUAUUGACUAUAAGCUGCUGGAUUUCUUGCUCCCAAGUAUACUUGCUUAUCUGUGCUAUAAUGGAAAAUAGCCUAACCUUGGACCUUCAGUUUAUUAUAUUUUCUUCUUUGUUCUUGGUAGACAUGCGCAAGUCAAUGGCUGAUCACUUCUUUAUAUGCGAUCCUGAGCUGAUGUGAAGGUCCUAUGUUUUCUUGAUUGGCAGGCAGGUGAGCAAGAGGAGGACCAUAGGUCAGGGAGUGUUUGGUUUCAGGGAGAUCGUUGGGGAGGAGUUCAUGACCAUGUUCCUGUCAGUUUUUAGCCGUAUGGUUCAGAGACUGGUAAUUACUUUGUCAAACACACAUAUUCUUUCUUGAUACGCAUUUUCAUUUUUGGUUAUCUGUGAGAAUGUUUAGUAUACAGAGAAGUUGUUCCAUGGAGCAGCUAAACAAAAAAAUAACUUUUCAUUUGUGAUAGUUUGCGAUAUGCAGAGAUAGGUAUAUCGGCUCAUGGCCAAACAUAUGAAACUGUUCUUGAUACUAUUUUAUCCUUUUCUUAAUAUCAUCAUCAUACACACACACACACACACACACACACACACACACACACACAAAUUAGAAACUUUCUAACAUCUGCAUAUUUCAGGUUUAGGAGGAUGUAGAGAGAACGAUGUUCAAACAAUUAAGUGCAGCAUCAACAGACGUGUUCCUAAAUUUUGAUGACUAUUAGAAAGAGAGAGGAUAUGGUGACCGAAAGUCUAUGUGUUUGUGCCGUGUACGUGUCGGGCAGUGGUAGAUUAAAGAUAUUUUGUAAUUGGACUUGGCAAGGGAUAGACUAGCAUGAAUUUUUUUUGAGUAGCGAAAUGGCGCAACCCUUCGUGAUUUUUGAAGUUUGAACAGAGUUAUGAACCAUUCGUCGCCUAAUCCCUAGAUUCUUGGAGUAUCAAGAUGGUGUGGCCAUCAGGGUUCCCAUCACCAUGCAUGCCAUGCUUGAGCUCCUCAAGAACGCCACCAAGCUGGCAUGUAAUGGAUGAUGGCUGAUGCAACGGUGGAGGAGGUGUAUUGAUGUCAGUUUGAAGCAAAUCAGGAGAACGCCACCAUCGAUGAGGUUGCCAGGUGAAGGAAGCAGCGGACUGGUGGCAAGGCUUUUCUACUCACCACCGUUUGAGUUCAUCAUCUGUCGCUACUGUACCCACUCAGUCGUAUCCAUGUUUGCAUAUUCUCUAGCCCAUUCAAUAAUCCACGGUAAGUGGUUAGGAGCUACAUAGUUUCCACUUUUGCCAUGUUUUAUAUACCGAACUAAUAUUUUUUUACAUGAAACUAGAUUCUGAUCUUUUGGUCUUGCCUACUGUUUACUUAUUCAAAUUGAUUCAGUUUUCCGUUCGUGUGCAUUAGUCAGAUUAUAAGUUGUUGCACGCUGCCGCAAGCUGCCCGGAGCCACGCAACCUCUGUCCUAAAGGCACGACAUCGCUAAUAAUUCUGGAUCCACUUCCUCUAGGAAGCAUAGUCAUUGAAACCCAUAAUAUGAGAGACAUUUUAGUUGCCCGAUGGUAGGAUGCUGCUAUGGCGGAAUAAAAGGAUGAUUGUGAUUACAGGUACAUUUUGGAUAAUAGCAGGAAGGAGCUGCUGGAACUAACUAAUCUAGAAAGUAAUUUCUUGAUCUAUUUACUCACAUACACAAGUAGUUGUUGAGGUAAAGCAAUAUGCUUUUUGGGCCCAAGUAGCAUUUACAUUAAUAGUGAUUUUUGUGAGAAGAAAAAUAUUAUAGGCUGAUUCCUAUUGUUACAGUACCAACUUAUCUUAGAAACAGAGAAGCACCAAGCUGGACUGCUGGCCGAGGAGAUGCAUAUGUGGGCACUUUCUGCUGGCCAAGUUCAGAAGCAAAUUAACUGCUUGUAUUUGCAUAAGCAACAGAGAGAAAAUGUUAGAGAACUUAGCAAAAAAAUGGUACUCGAGGCUUAGAAUGUCUUGCACUUUCUGUUGUAACACAUCCACUGUUUUGUGUGUUUUAAAGCAGCUUUAUCCUAUUUUCGCUUGAACAGAAAGGAGAAAGAAAUGUCUAAGAAAUCGAAGGUAUUGCUGCAGCUGAUAGGUCGCCUACUCCUUUGGAUACCAUUCAUAUCGUACUUAACUCAGUGAGCAAAUUGAGGACUACGGUUAUCUUCCAUGUCUAUGUGAAAUAAAUGCGAUAGUUUCAUAACACCAAAUGGUCCAAAGUGCAUCCAAUACAUGGUCAAGAGCACCACUGACGUUCACGAAACCGAUAAUAUUACAGGACAGUGUAGAUAUGAGUUUUCUAAUUUUGUCAAAUGCAGCUAUGUUAUACUAACAACCCGUGUUUGCAUGUCCUAAUUUAUGUAUGCACAAGCUGUAUCUUUUGUUGAGCUAUAUUAUAAUAUUAUUUGUAUGUACGCGCAUGUUGCACAGAGAUGUUAUUUGGCAUGCAUGAAUUCUAAUUUUAAUUUAAAGUUAGGCAUGAUUAAUCUCACACACCACAAAAUUUCCUUACUGUGCACUACAUCUUUUAUCUCCAAUUUGGAUAAUAUAAGCGAUAACUCUUUAGUCUGAUUUAAUUAUCUUCAAAAGUUUGCUAGAGGCUAUAGAUGACCUUCUGGUUUUUCUUCAAUAAUUUUUUAUAGUGCAAUUGUAUGAACUGGUUUCCCCAUCAGGGCUGUAUUUUCUUUUCUUUGAUAGAUUCUAGAGUCAUGUACUUCCGUUUCAUGUGCCCAUGUUUGCCAUUAUAUGUGCCUUUCUUGUUGAGCUCUAUUUGGAUGAACUUUUGUUAUGGGAUGUGACUUCAUGGGCAUGAACGGACAUUUUGAUCUAACCUUGUUUGAGAUGUUCUUUUAUGCUUGCCUCAGGCACUCAGCUUUGUGUGGUCAGUGAUGACAAUCGACAGUGUCUCUGUUAAAAAUUAUUCAUAAUUACUAGCAGCAUUCCAUAAUUUGUAUCGGGUUGUUUAUUUAUUUAUUGAGGAAAGGCUUGUAUCAGGCUGUCCUGGUGUGGCGACCUAGGAAGGACAAACAGGGUUGGUCGUCACCAAAGAUGAAAACAUUGUCGAGCCUUACUUUUUGCAAGUUGCCUCAAUUCUACUACUUUUAGAGAAAAGAUAGCAAUUUCAGUCAUGUUGCACGAACACUUGUAGAUCGUGGUGCAUCAAGAUCAUAAUUGCUACACUCAAAGGUUACAUUGACCUUAUUUCUGACAUUUGCAAAAAAUGUAUUAAAAAUGUUGCAUAAUGGCACAUGGAGCAAUUUAUACUUAAUAUUUCGCCCGGUGCAACGCACAGGC